CAAAGAAUAUUUUAUAUAAAAUAAUAAUUUUGGAGAUUAUAGAUAAAGAGAUUAUUCUUUUUCUUUGA
rnacentral:tRNA from 1 species